rnacentral:rRNA from 1 species
UUGUAAGUGUCUAAGGGCGCAUGGUGGAUGCCUUGGCAUCGAGAGCCGAUGAAGGACGUGGGAGGCUGCGAUAUGCCUCGGGGAGCUGUCAACCGAGCGUGGAUCCGAGGAUUUCCGAAUGGGGAAACCCAGCACGAGUGAUGUCGUGCUACCCGCAUCUGAAUAUAUAGGGUGCGGGAGGGAACGCGGGGAAGUGAAACAUCUCAGUACCCGUAGGAGGAGAAAACAAUUGUGAUUCCGCAAGUAGUGGCGAGCGAACGCGGAACAGGCUAAACCGCACGCAUGGGUAACCGGGUAGGGGUUGUGUGUGCGGGGUUGUGGGAGGAUAUGUCUCAGCGCUACCCGGCUGAGAGGCAGUCAGAAAGUGUCGUGGUUAGCGGAAGUGGCCUGGGAUGGUCUGCCGUAGACGGUGAGAGCCCGGUACGCGAAAACCCGGCACCUGCCUAGUAUCAAUUCCCGAGUAGCAGCGGGCCCGUGGAAUCCGCUGUGAAUCCGCCGGGACCACCCGGUAAGCCUAAAUACUCCUCGAUGACCGAUAGCGGAUUAGUACCGUGAGGGAAUGGUGAAAAGUACCCCGGGAGGGGAGUGAAAGAGUACCUGAAACCGUGUGCCUACAAUCCGUCAGAGCCUCCUUUUCCUCUCCGGAGGAGGGUGGUGAUGGCGUGCCUUUUGAAGAAUGAGCCUGCGAGUCAGGGACAUGUCGCAAGGUUAACCCGUGUGGGGUAGCCGCAGCGAAAGCGAGUCUGAAUAGGGCGACCCACACGCGCAUACGCGCGUGUGAAUAGUGGCGUGUUCUGGACCCGAAGCGGAGUGAUCUACCCAUGGCCAGGGUGAAGCGCGGGUAAGACCGCGUGGAGGCCCGAACCCACUUAGGUUGAAGACUGAGGGGAUGAGCUGUGGGUAGGGGUGAAAGGCCAAUCAAACUCCGUGAUAGCUGGUUCUCCCCGAAAUGCAUUUAGGUGCAGCGUUGCGUGGUUCACCGCGGAGGUAGAGCUACUGGAUGGCCGAUGGGCCCUACUAGGUUACUGACGUCAGCCAAACUCCGAAUGCCGUGGUGUAAAGCGUGGCAGUGAGACGGCGGGGGAUAAGCUCCGUACGUCGAAAGGGAAACAGCCCAGAUCGCCGGCUAAGGCCCCCAAGCGUGUGCUAAGUGGGAAAGGAUGUGCAGUCGCAAAGACAACCAGGAGGUUGGCUUAGAAGCAGCCACCCUUGAAAGAGUGCGUAAUAGCUCACUGGUCAAGUGAUUGUGCGCCGAUAAUGUAGCGGGGCUCAAGCACACCGCCGAAGCCGCGGCACAUCCACCUUGUGGUGGGUGUGGGUAGGGGAGCGUCCCUCAUUCAGCGAAGCCACCGGGUGACCGGUGGUGGAGGGUGGGGGAGUGAGAAUGCAGGCAUGAGUAGCGACAAGGCAAGUGAGAACCUUGCCCGCCGAAAGACCAAGGGUUCCUGGGCCAGGCCAGUCCGCCCAGGGUGAGUCGGGACCUAAGGCGAGGCCGACAGGCGUAGUCGAUGGACAACGGGUUGAUAUUCCCGUACCCGUGUGUGGGCGCCCGUGACGAAUCAGCGGUACUAACCACCCAAAACCGGAUCGAAACUUCGCUGGUAGUAGUCAAGCGAAGGGGUGACGCAGGAAGGUAGCCGUACCAGUCAGUGGUAACACUGGGGCAAGCCGGUAGGGAGAGCGAUAGGCAAAUCCGUCGCUCACUAAUCCUGAGAGGUGACGCAUAGCCGGUUGAGGCGAAUUCGGUGAUCCUCUGCUGCCAAGAAAAGCCUCUAGCGAGCACACACACGGCCCGUACCCCAAACCGACACAGGUGGUCAGGUAGAGCAUACCAAGGCGUACGAGAUAACUAUGGUUAAGGAACUCGGCAAAAUGCCCCCGUAACUUCGGGAGAAGGGGGACCGGAAUAUCGUGAACACCCUUGCGGUGGGAGCGGGAUCCGGUCGCAGAAACCAGUGAGGAGCGACUGUUUACUAAAAACACAGGUCCGUGCGAAGUCGCAAGACGAUGUAUACGGACUGACGCCUGCCCGGUGCUGGAAGGUUAAGAGGACCCGUUAACCCGCAAGGGUGAAGCGGAGAAUUUAAGCCCCAGUAAACGGCGGUGGUAACUAUAACCAUCCUAAGGUAGCGAAAUUCCUUGUCGGGUAAGUUCCGACCUGCACGAAUGGCGUAACGACUUCUCAACUGUCUCAACCAUAGACUCGGCGAAAUUGCACUACGAGUAAAGAUGCUCGUUACGCGCGGCAGGACGAAAAGACCCCGGGACCUUCACUACAACUUGGUAUUGAUGUUCGGUACGGUUUGUGUAGGAUAGGUGGGAGACUGUGAAACCUCGACGCCAGUUGGGGCGGAGUCGUUGUUGAAAUACCACUCUGAUCGUAUUGGGCAUCUAACCUCGAACCCUGAAUCGGGUUUAGGGACAGUGCCUGGCGGGUAGUUUAACUGGGGCGGUUGCCUCCUAAAAUGUAACGGAGGCGCCCAAAGGUUCCCUCAACCUGGACGGCAAUCAGGUGGCGAGUGUAAAUGCACAAGGGAGCUUGACUGCGAGACUUACAAGUCAAGCAGGGACGAAAGUCGGGAUUAGUGAUCCGGCACCCCCGAGUGGAAGGGGUGUCGCUCAACGGAUAAAAGGUACCCCGGGGAUAACAGGCUGAUCUUCCCCAAGAGUCCAUAUCGACGGGAUGGUUUGGCACCUCGAUGUCGGCUCGUCGCAUCCUGGGGCUGGAGCAGGUCCCAAGGGUUGGGCUGUUCGCCCAUUAAAGCGGCACGCGAGCUGGGUUUAGAACGUCGUGAGACAGUUCGGUCUCUAUCCGCCGCGCGCGUCAGAAACUUGAGGAAACCUGUCCCUAGUACGAGAGGACCGGGACGGACGAACCUCUGGUGCACCAGUUGUCCCGCCAGGGGCACCGCUGGAUAGCCACGUUCGGUCAGGAUAACCGCUGAAAGCAUCUAAGCGGGAAACCUUCUCCAAGAUCAGGUUUCUCACCCACUUGGUGGGAUAAGGCCCCCCGCAGAACACGGGUUCAAUAGGUCAGACCUGGAAGCUCAGUAAUGGGUGUAGGGAACUGGUGCUAACCGGCCGAAAACUUACAACA